UGGGGGAUAGCCCGGCGAAAGCCGGAUUAAUACCGCAUACGAUCUGUGGAUGAAAGCGGGGGAUCUUCGGACCUCGCGCUACAGGGGCGGCCGAUGGCAGAUUAGCUAGUUGGUGGGGUAAAGGCCUACCAAGGCGACGAUCUGUAGCUGGUCUGAGAGGACGACCAGCCACACUGGGACUGAGACACGGCCCAGACUCCUACGGGAGGCAGCAGUGGGGAAUUUUGGACAAUGGGCGAAAGCCUGAUCCAGCAAUGCCGCGUGUGUGAAGAAGGCCUUCGGGUUGUAAAGCACUUUUGUCCGGAAAGAAAACCUCUGUGGUUAAUACCCGUGGGGGAUGACGGUACCGGAAGAAUAAGCACCGGCUAACUACGUGCCAGCAGCCGCGGUAAUACGUAGGGUGCAAGCGUUAAUCGGAAUUACUGGGCGUAAAGCGUGCGCAGGCGGUUCGCUAAGACAGAUGUGAAAUCCCCGGGCUUAACCUGGGAACUGCAUUUGUGACUGGCGGGCUAGAGUAUGGCAGAGGGGGGUAGAAUUCCACGUGUAGCAGUGAAAUGCGUA
rnacentral:rRNA from 1 species